GCGAUCAUACCAGCACUAAUGCACCGGAUCCCAUCAGAACUCCGAAGUUAAGCGUGCUUGGGCGAGAGCAGUACUAGGAUGGGUGACCCCAUGGGAAGUCCUCGUGUUGCACCU
rnacentral:rRNA from 1 species